rnacentral:lncRNA from 1 species
CGCAGCUUUCGCGCGCGUCCCCGUGGGGCGCAGCAGCCCCUCGACAAUGCUCCCACCCGCACAAUGUUGUCCAUCCACGGUCCAGGACCGCCACGUAAUCGUCACUCGACAGAUGGCCUUCGUCGCCAUCCAUGAUUCAAGUCAGGACGGGUCAAUACCUCGUGGCAGUUUGACCGUAAGGGGGAUUCGUCCUUAGUGUUGCGGUCGAAGUCCGAAAGUGUAUAUGGGGAGGAGAUAGAAAUGGA